UUGUAUAGAGGCCCUGGUAUUGGCCAUGUAAUGGCGGCGCACACUGGAUAGAUUCAAGAUGGCGGACGAGUUCAGUCUCAGCCUUCAUAGCUAUGCCAAAGAUGCUGGCAGGAAACAUCCAGAAAAUGAAAACAGAAUGCCAUCAUUUCAUCUUUGGCAUAGCUAUGCUGCUUCCAAUUACAAAGAGAAUUAGGUCAUCGCCAACAGGGCUCACACCUUAUUCAAAGGAAAAGAGACUGGCUCUGGCACCACUGACACAGGAACCAAUAAGUGAUCAACCAGAAAAAAAGCACAAGAAAAAAAUGGAGCAAUGAUGAAAAUACCUUUCUGCUAGAACAAGCAGCAAGCUCAAAAGUGCACAGCAAUAUACUUUGGAAUGACUGUGCCAAAAGACUCAAAGAAAAACUAUCAACUUCACGUUCAGGAGAAUCUUGCAGACUUCGGUACAAAAGGAUUCGAUCGAGAACUGGUCAUUCAGAAUCUGCCUUUACAUUCGAAAUAGAGGGUGUAAGUAAUCAGAACCAGACAAUGGAUGCAAGCUGUCAGACAGACUUGUCAGUACCACCUGAAAGGUCAAGGUCCGACGACAAAGCAGUUUCACCUACCAAGAGCAUCGCUGGAGGGAAACAGGGAAAACAUGGAAAGAUAUCUCGCCCUGCAGAGAUUUUACGCCAUGAAUUGGAAAAAGGUUAUGAAACAGCCAGUUCUGAAUACAUUGUCACUGAUAUUCUUACUGAGAUGCUACAUACCAACUCCACUGAAGAUCUGUCACAUGUGAUAUUCUGCAAUCAGACACUGAAGAAAUCUUUAUGGAAGAUGUUCCUUUGUGACAUAAGGGAAUCAUCGAGGAGCAUGUGUGAAAAGGGAAAAAGCUACUUAUUCCAAAAGGACUAUCAGUCACUAAAAACUUCAAGUGGGAAGAGGUCAUUAAUGAAAUGGUUUCGAACAACCCUGAACUUGUUCAAGUGUUGCUAGCUGUUUCAGUACCUAAACGAAAAAUGACUGAUGUUAAAAUGCUGGAGUCUGUUGUAAAGAAAUUAGGAUUUGUGUAUGGAAUUCUCAUGAAAGCCAGGUGGAAGGACUUGUCAAGAAUUCAAAGAUUAAUUUCCAUGGUUAUGUGUGAUGAGAAAGUUCCUCAAAAAGUAAUUAACAAUAUUUAAAGUUACAUAUUAAGUUUUGAAAGUUUCUGUUGUUAAUAUUUGUUGAUUGGAACUAUUUGUUUUUACACUAACCUCAAUUACAAAUCAACAUUAAAAGUAUCAGGUACAGUAACUGUUCCUCAUUUCCUAUCAUUUUGUGAGUUUUGCUUAAUCUAUUUGAAUCAUAUAUGUCAUGUACCAGAUAACAUAUUUUAUUUCAAGAGUACUUUCAUUGAAAAAGUGAAUUGAAUUCUAGUUUCACAAUUGUACUAUACAACUACUGUAAACUAUGUAAAUUUAUAAUCAACUGAAUAUAUACUUUGUUAAUUAUC